rnacentral:rRNA from 1 species
CCCAAUCCUGACACAGGGAGGUAGUGACAAGAAAUAACAAUACAGGGCGAAUGUCUUGUAAUUGGAAUGAUGGUGACCCAAACCCUCACCAGAGUAGCAAUUGGAGGGCAAGUCUGGUGCCAGCAGCCGCGGUAAUUCCAGCUCCAAUAGCGUAUAUUAAACUUGUUGCAGUUAAAAAGCUCGUAGUUGUAUUUUUGCGUUGACGGUUUGACCAUUUGGUUGGUUAUUUCGUUUUCGCUUUUGGGAAUUUCCCUUUUUACUUUGAGAAAAUUAGAGUGUUUCAAGCAGACUUUUGUCUUGAAUACUUCAGCAUGGAAUAAUAGAGUAGGACUUUGGUUCUAUUUUGUUGGUUAUUGAACCUUAGUAAUGGUUAAUAGGAACGGUUGGGGGCAUUCGUAUUUAAA